UUACUGUGGAGAAGACGAAUAGAGUUAGAGAGAGGUGUUACUGUGGAGAAGACGAAUAGAGUUAGAGUGAGGUGUUACUGUGGAGAAGACGAAUAGAGUUAGAGAGAGGUGUUACUGUGGAGAAGACUAAUAGAGUUAGAGAGAGGUGUUACUGUGGAGAAGAGUAAUAGAGUUAGAGGUGUUACUGUGGAGAAGACGAAUAGAGUUAGAGAGAGGUGUUACUGUGGAGAAGACGAAUAUAGUUAGAGAGAGGUGUUACUGUGGAGAAGACGAAUAGAGUUAGAGAGAGGUGUUACUGUGGAGAAGACUAAUAGAGUUAGAGAGAGGUGUUACUGUGGAGAAGAGUAAUAGAGUUAGAGGUGUUACUGUGGAGAAGACGAAUAGAGUUAGAGAGAGGUGUUACUGUGUAGAAGAGUAAUAGAGUUAGUUAGUGAGAGGUGUUACUGUGGAGAAGAGUAAUAGAGUUAGAGGUGUUACUGUGGAGAAGACGAAUAGAGUUAGAGUGAGGUGUUACUGUGGAGAAGACGAAUAGAGUUAGAGAGAGGUGUUACUGUGGAGAAGACUAAUAGAGUUAGAGAGAGGUGUUACUGUGGAGAAGAGUAAUAGAGUUAGAGGUGUUACUGUGGAGAAGACGAAUAGAGUUAGAGAGAGGUGUUACUGUGGAGAAGACGAAUAGAGUUAGAGUGAGGUGUUACUGUGG